rnacentral:rRNA from 1 species
UAGGGAAUCUUCGGCAAUGGGGGGAACCCUGACCGAGCAACGCCGCGUGAGUGAAGAAGGUUUUCGGAUCGUAAAGCUCUGUUGUUAAGGAAGAACGAGUGUGAGAAUGGAAAGUUCAUACUGUGACGGUACUUAACCAGAAAGGGACGGCUAACUACGUGCCAGCAGCCGCGGUAAUACGUAGGUGCCGAGCGUUGUCCGGAUUUAUUGGGCGUAAAGCGAGCGCAGGCGGUUAGAUAAGUCUGAAGUUAAAGGCAGUGGCUCAACCAUUGUAGGCUUUGGAAACUGUUUAACUUGAGUGCAGAAGGGGAGAGUGGAAUUCCAUGUGUAGCGGUGAAAUGCGUAGAUAUAUGGAGGAACACCGGUGGCGAAGGCGGCUCUCUGGUCUGUAACUGACGCGGAGGCUCGAAAGCGUGGGGAGCGAACAGG